rnacentral:rRNA from 1 species
CCGUUUGAUCCUGACGGUAGUCAUAUGCUUGUCUCUGAGACUAAGCCAUGCAAGUCUAAGUAGAAGCUUUUUUUAAUAGUUAAACUGCAUACGGCUCAUUAAACCAGUUAUAAUUGACUUGAUAAAAUAAUUUAUAAUUUAAAUGGAUAACCCUAGUAAUUCCAGGGCUAAUACAUGCAAUUUUUACUUUUAAAUUUUAUAUUUAAAAGUGUACUUAUUUGAUGAAAAAAAAAAAAAAAAUAAUUUAAUAAAUAAAUUAAAAAAAAAAUUAUAAAAAUCAAAAAAUUUUUUGAUGAAUUAAAAUAAUUAAACUAAUCACAAAUUUAUUUGUGAUGAUACAAACAAGUUUCUGACCUAUCAACUGUCGAUGGUAAAAUAUUAGUUUACCAUGGUAUUAACGGGUGACGGAGAAUUAGGGUUUGAUUCCGGAGAGGGAGCCUGAGAAAUGGCUACUACUUCCAAGGAAGGCAGCAGGCGCGCAAAUUACCCAAUCUCAAUUCGAGGAGGUAGUGACAAGAAAUAUCGAUAUAGGACCCUUUUAAAAGGAACUAUGUUCGGAAUGAAUACGAUUUAAAAACACUAAUAAGGAACAAUUGGAGGGCAAGUCUGGUGCCAGCAGCCGCGGUAAUUCCAGCUCCAAUAGCGUAUGUUAAAGUUGCUGCAGUUAAAAAGCUCGUAGUUGAGGAUGGGCUUUUAAGAUUUCAAUAUUAUUAUCUUUUUUUUUAUUUUUUUUUAUAUUUACUAUAAAAAAAAUAAAAAAAUAUAUAGAUAUAUAUUGUAAAACUUAUAUGUUCUUCUUUAUAUGUGAAAAUAAUUUUUUAAAAAAAUUUAUAUUUUUUUAAAAAAGUUUCCAUAUAUUUUACUUUGAAAAAAUUAGAGUGUUUAAAGCAGGUUAAAGUCAUAUAUAAAUUAGCAUGGGAUAAUAGAAUAAGAAUCAGAUAAUUUGGUUUUUUUAAUUUUAAUUAAUUUAUUAAUUAAAAUUUUUCCAAAUUUAUCGGAUUACAUGAUUAACAGGGAUAGUUGGGGUCCUUCGUACUGAAUUGUGAGAGGUGAAAUUCUAAGAUCGAUUUAAGACGUCCUAAUGCGAAAGCAUUGGACAAGGAUGU